AUGAAGCCUCUAUUCUGUGAGGUGGAAGAGAGAGUCAACAGCCAUAUUUGCUGGAGCGGUGAACCAAAUUGCCUUGACUGGAACCAUUACUCACUUGCACAUUUGACAGCAGCAGCCAGCUUGAGGAUCCUAGUUACAGUGAUCUGUUCAACUUCUCGGCCGUUCCGCCCCUUGCUUGGGUCUGCCAAAGGAAGGUGUCCCAUCUUCUCCACCAGAUUUCCGCUCGAGCUUUCCUGGGUAGAGCAGUGCCUCCACAGAUGCCGGUGCGUUACACAAGCUGGGGCGCAGAGAGGCCGAGACGAGGAUACGUGAUCAACAGAUGAAGCAGCAGAAUGUUAAUAAUACAAGACACCUAAUUGGACCUGCCCUUUCGCCCAGAAGUGAGGACAUAUGUCAGCACGCAGCAGGCGCCAGGCCUGUGGCAACCUGCUCCCACCUCCUACAGGUCUUCACGAGGAAAAAAUUGCAUUAUGAGCUGAGCUGCUUGCCUGCUGUAAUUGCCAAUAAAGC
rnacentral:lncRNA from 1 species